UCAAUAAUAAUAUGGACGAUGUAAAACUUAUCAUUAUAAAAUAGUAUACGGGAAGAAAUUUUCAUAAAUAAUAAAAACAAGUGAAGUAUCUUUCUCUUUCUGUAAGCACGAACAUUACAAAAGAAGUAAGAGCAUGGUAAAAUGGGAACUAUUUACGUUAAAUUACGCACAUGCAUUUGUCAUGGGAAAUUUAAAGCAUUGAGUUGCUGAGGAAGUCCUUCUUUCCAAUCGUGGCAAAGAGGAAACUUUGUAAUUUUAUCUUGUUGAAUGUGUAGUAUAUAUAGAGGCUGCAAACGCUGUUUCUGGUUGUUUCAAUACGCAUUUUUGAUGGUCGCAUUUUAUCGACGCAUUUGAUUAAUGCAUUGUAACGCAUUGAGUUGAAGUCUUGAAGGGACGAAUUGGAUACGCAUUUUUUGAUCUUAAUACUCGUGGUAAUGACCAACGUUUGUCGUCAAAAGAAUGGUGAUUUAGCAUCCCGCACAACAGAACGCUUAGGUUGUGCGACAAUGGCACUAUAAAUCUAUAACUACCUGUCAAUGUGAGACCAAGGCUGAGACUUUACCAAUAAAUUACCAGAGAAGAGAUCAGUUGCACGAAGGUCAAAUAACGCUAUCAUUGACAUAAGUAGCAACGUUUUUGAGCGCUUCAAAAAUACCUUAAAAGGGAAAAA